UGAGGAAUCUUGCGCAAUGGGGGAAACCCUGACGCAGCAACGCCGCGUGAGUGAGGAAGGCCUUCGGGUCGUAAAGCUCUGUCGGGUGGAAAGAAACGUACGAAUGUUAAUAGCAUUUGUACUUGACGGUACUGCCAAAGGAAGCACCGGCUAACUCCGUGCCAGCAGCCGCGGUAAUACGGGGGGUGCAAGCGUUGUUCGGAAUCAUUGGGCGUAAAGAGCGUGUAGGCGGCCGAAUAAGUCAGAUGUGAAAUCCCUGGGCUCAACCCAGGAAGUGCAUUUGAAACUGUUCUGCUAGAGUAGGGGAGAGGGAAGUGGAAUUCCUGGUGUAGAGGUGAAAUUCGUAGAUAUCAGGAGGAACACCGGUGGCGAAGGCGACUUCCUGGCCUUAUACUGACGC
rnacentral:rRNA from 1 species